rnacentral:tRNA from 1 species
GGGGACGUAGCUCAGUUAGGAUAGAGCGGUCGCCUCCUAAGCGACAGGUCGGCAGUUCGAAUCUGCCCGUCCCUACCA